UAGGGAAUUUUCGUCAAUGGGCGCAAGCCUGAACGAGCAAUGCCGCGUGAACGAGGAAGGUCUUCGGAUCGUAAAGUUCUGUUGAGAGGGAAAAAGGGUCACCAGAGGAAAUGCUGGUGAAGUGAUAUUACCUUUCGAGGAAGUCACGGCUAACUACGUGCCAGCAGCCGCGGUAAUACGUAGGUGGCGAGCGUUAUCCGGAAUGAUUGGGCGUAAAGGGUGCGUAGGCGGCCUGUUAAGUCUGAAGUGAAAGGUAACCGGCUCAACCGGUAUAGGCUUUGGAAACUGGCAGGCUGGAGGACAGGAGAGGGCGGUGGAACUCCAUGUGUAGCGGUAAAAUGCGUAGAUAUAUGGAAGAACACCAGUGGCGAAGGCGGCCGCCUGGCCUGUUACUGACGCUGAGGCACGAAAGCGUGGGGAGCAAAUAGGAUUAGAUACC
rnacentral:rRNA from 1 species